rnacentral:rRNA from 1 species
UCGACCUGAGGUCAGGCAAGAACACCCGGUGAACUUA